GAACGCUGGCGGCAGGCUUAACACAUGCAAGUCGAACGGUAACAGGAAAUAGCUUGCUAUUUUGCUGACGAGUGGCGGACGGGUGAGUAAUGCUUGGGAAUUUGCCUGAUGGUGGGGGACAACAGUUGGAAACGACUGCUAAUACCGCAUAAUGUCUACGGACCAAAGGUGGCCUCUAUUUAUAUGCUAUCGCUAUCAGAUGAGCCCAAGUGGGAUUAGCUAGUUGGUAAGGUAAUGGCUUACCAAGGCGACGAUCCCUAGCUGGUCUUAGAGGAUGACCAGCCACACUGGAACUGAGACACGGUCCAGACUCCUACGGGAGGCAGCAGUGGGGAAUAUUGUACAAUGGGGGAAACCCUGAUGCAGCCAUGCCGCGUGUGUGAAGAAGGCUUUCGGGUUGUAAAGCACUUUCAGCGAGGAGGAAAGGGUGUUGCUUAAUACGUAACACCUGUGACGUUACUCGCAGAAGAAGCACCGGCUAACUCCGUG
rnacentral:rRNA from 1 species